GGUUAAGCGACUAAGCGUACACGGUGGAUGCCCUGGCAGUCAGAGGCGAUGAAGGACGUGCUAAUCUGCGAUAAGCGUCGGUAAGGUGAUAUGAACCGUUAUAACCGGCGAUUUCCGAAUGGGGAAACCCAGUGUGUUUCGACACACUAUCAUUAACUGAAUCCAUAGGUUAAUGAGGCGAACCGGGGGAACUGAAACAUCUAAGUACCCCGAGGAAAAGAAAUCAACCGAGAUUCCCCCAGUAGCGGCGAGCGAACGGGGAGCAGCCCAGAGCCUGAAUCAGUGUGUGUGUUAGUGGAAGCGUCUGGAAAGGCGCGCGAUACAGGGUGACAGCCCCGUACACAAAAAUGCACAUGCUGUGAGCUCGAUGAGUAGGGCGGGACACGUGGUAUCCUGUCUGAAUAUGGGGGGACCAUCCUCCAAGGCUAAAUACUCCUGACUGACCGAUAGUGAACCAGUACCGUGAGGGAAAGGCGAAAAGAACCCCGGCGAGGGGAGUGAAAAAGAACCUGAAACCGUGUACGUACAAGCAGUGGGAGCACGCUUAGGCGUGUGACUGCGUACCUUUUGUAUAAUGGGUCAGCGACUUAUAUUCUGUAGCAAGGUUAACCGAAUAGGGGAGCCGAAGGGAAACCGAGUCUUAACUGGGCGUUAAGUUGCAGGGUAUAGACCCGAAACCCGGUGAUCUAGCCAUGGGCAGGUUGAAGGUUGGGUAACACUAACUGGAGGACCGAACCGACUAAUGUUGAAAAAUUAGCGGAUGACUUGUGGCUGGGGGUGAAAGGCCAAUCAAACCGGGAGAUAGCUGGUUCUCCCCGAAAGCUAUUUAGGUAGCGCCUCGUGAAUUCAUCUCCGGGGGUAGAGCACUGUUUCGGCAAGGGGGUCAUCCCGACUUACCAACCCGAUGCAAACUGCGAAUACCGGAGAAUGUUAUCACGGGAGACACACGGCGGGUGCUAACGUCCGUCGUGAAGAGGGAAACAACCCAGACCGCCAGCUAAGGUCCCAAAGUCAUGGUUAAGUGGGAAACGAUGUGGGAAGGCCCAGACAGCCAGGAUGUUGGCUUAGAAGCAGCCAUCAUUUAAAGAAAGCGUAAUAGCUCACUGGUCGAGUCGGCCUGCGCGGAAGAUGUAACGGGGCUAAACCAUGCACCGAAGCUGCGGCAGCGACGCUUAUGCGUUGUUGGGUAGGGGAGCGUUCUGUAAGCCUGCGAAGGUGUGCUGUGAGGCAUGCUGGAGGUAUCAGAAGUGCGAAUGCUGACAUAAGUAACGAUAAAGCGGGUGAAAAGCCCGCUCGCCGGAAGACCAAGGGUUCCUGUCCAACGUUAAUCGGGGCAGGGUGAGUCGACCCCUAAGGCGAGGCCGAAAGGCGUAGUCGAUGGGAAACAGGUUAAUAUUCCUGUACUUGGUGUUACUGCGAAGGGGGGACGGAGAAGGCUAUGUUGGCCGGGCGACGGUUGUCCCGGUUUAAGCGUGUAGGCUGGUUUUCCAGGCAAAUCCGGAAAAUCAAGGCUGAGGCGUGAUGACGAGGCACUACGGUGCUGAAGCAACAAAUGCCCUGCUUCCAGGAAAAGCCUCUAAGCAUCAGGUAACAUCAAAUCGUACCCCAAACCGACACAGGUGGUCAGGUAGAGAAUACCAAGGCGCUUGAGAGAACUCGGGUGAAGGAACUAGGCAAAAUGGUGCCGUAACUUCGGGAGAAGGCACGCUGAUAUGUAGGUGAAGCGACUUGCUCGUGGAGCUGAAAUCAGUCGAAGAUACCAGCUGGCUGCAACUGUUUAUUAAAAACACAGCACUGUGCAAACACGAAAGUGGACGUAUACGGUGUGACGCCUGCCCGGUGCCGGAAGGUUAAUUGAUGGGGUCAGCGCAAGCGAAGCUCUUGAUCGAAGCCCCGGUAAACGGCGGCCGUAACUAUAACGGUCCUAAGGUAGCGAAAUUCCUUGUCGGGUAAGUUCCGACCUGCACGAAUGGCGUAAUGAUGGCCAGGCUGUCUCCACCCGAGACUCAGUGAAAUUGAACUCGCUGUGAAGAUGCAGUGUACCCGCGGCAAGACGGAAAGACCCCGUGAACCUUUACUAUAGCUUGACACUGAACAUUGAGCCUUGAUGUGUAGGAUAGGUGGGAGGCUUUGAAGUGUGGACGCCAGUCUGCAUGGAGCCGACCUUGAAAUACCACCCUUUAAUGUUUGAUGUUCUAACGUUGACCCGUAAUCCGGGUUGCGGACAGUGUCUGGUGGGUAGUUUGACUGGGGCGGUCUCCUCCUAAAGAGUAACGGAGGAGCACGAAGGUUGGCUAAUCCUGGUCGGACAUCAGGAGGUUAGUGCAAUGGCAUAAGCCAGCUUGACUGCGAGCGUGACGGCGCGAGCAGGUGCGAAAGCAGGUCAUAGUGAUCCGGUGGUUCUGAAUGGAAGGGCCAUCGCUCAACGGAUAAAAGGUACUCCGGGGAUAACAGGCUGAUACCGCCCAAGAGUUCAUAUCGACGGCGGUGUUUGGCACCUCGAUGUCGGCUCAUCACAUCCUGGGGCUGAAGUAGGUCCCAAGGGUAUGGCUGUUCGCCAUUUAAAGUGGUACGCGAGCUGGGUUUAGAACGUCGUGAGACAGUUCGGUCCCUAUCUGCCGUGGGCGCUGGAGAACUGAGGGGGGCUGCUCCUAGUACGAGAGGACCGGAGUGGACGCAUCACUGGUGUUCGGGUUGUCAUGCCAAUGGCACUGCCCGGUAGCUAAAUGCGGAAGAGAUAAGUGCUGAAAGCAUCUAAGCACGAAACUUGCCCCGAGAUGAGUUCUCCCUGACUCCUUGAGAGUCCUGAAGGAACGUUGAAGACGACGACGUUGAUAGGCCGGGUGUGUAAGCGCAGCGAUGCGUUGAGCUAACCGGUACUAAUGAACCGUGAGGCUUAACCUU
rnacentral:rRNA from 1 species